UUAACAGGUGCACAAGCUGUUUUCUAAAAGUGGAGAUGUCACACGUAUCAUCAUUGGCCUGGACGAAACCAAGAAGACUGCUUAUACUACACCUGUGCAGAUGCAGAGCAUGCCUUGCGCUUCAUUAAUGGCACACGGCUGGAUAACAGCAUCAUCAGGACAGACUGGGAUGCUUCAAGGAUGAAGGCAGUUCGGUCGUGGCAAAUCAGGAGGACAGGUAGGUGAGAGAUGAUUACGACCCAGCGAGAGACAGUUACGGUAACUGGCUCAGCAGCAUCGACCCGCAGAGGGGCGCAAUAGUUUUUAGAAUAAACACCACAGCAGUCUGCCUGGACUACAGAGUCCCAGCUGUUAGUCCUGCUCCAGAUUAACUCUCCCACAAGGUCAAGCAAGCUACCACAGAUUAGAAGUUUUGUCAUGAAAGCCCUCUGCAGCAGUCCAGCUCGGACUACUGGAUCCAGGUGUGAGCAAAUGUUAUUUAUUUGUUUUUGAGGCCUGGUUUUUGCUCUGCCUGUCUCUGCAACUACACGGUUGACAUGUGAUAUUUGUUGAUGUUUAUUAUUCUGUGUAAAGAAAUGCCAUUGAUUUUCCUGCAGGCUGGAAAGGCUCUGAUAAAGUUGUCUUGAUUUUCUGUGUCAUGUUCAAAUAACUACCUGAAGUAGUGAAGAUGCAGUGCUGUUCCAUGAAUGAAAUUUUGUCCAAAACUGUGCAUACUUUUUAAAAUAAAGUCUUGUUUUUUGAAA